AGCCAUAAGUUAACAUUUUUGGUUUAACCUGCCCAAUGUAUAAAGUGAAUUAAUGGCCGCGGUACCAUGACCGUGCUAAGGUAGCGUAAUCAGUUGGCUUUUAAAUGGAGUCAGGAAUGAAUGGGAUAACCUGGUUUAGCUGUCUCCUAAUUAUUUAAUCCAAUUUACUGAUCAAGUGAAAAAGCUUGAUGUAUAGAAAAGGGACGAGAAGACCCUUAGAAUUUUACUAAAAAUAGAAUUAAGUUUUAUAUUUGUUUUGUUGGGGUGACAAGGAAAUAAAUUUAAACUUUCUUUAUUUUACAAGCCGAAUUUAUUAAGCGGGAAUAAAUUACCUGAGGGAUAACAGCAUAAUUCUAUAGAUGAGUUUGUGACCUCGAUGUUGGACUAGGAAACUAGCAGAUUAGCCAUUUGCUGUGUUAGUUCUGUUCGAACUUUAAUUCCU
rnacentral:rRNA from 1 species